UGAGUGCAGAAGAGGAGAGUGGAAUUCCAUGUGUAGCGGUGAAAUGCGUAGAUAUAUGGAGGAACACCAGUGGCGAAGGCGGCUCUCUGGUCUGUAACUGACGCUGAGGCUCGAAAGCGUGGGGAGCGAACAGGAUUAGAUACCCUGGUAGUCCACGCCGUAAACGAUGAGUGCUAAGUGUUGGAGGGUUUCCGCCCUUCAGUGCUGCAGCAAACGCAUUAAGCACUCCGCCUGGGGAGUACGACCGCAAGGUUGAAACUCAAAGGAAUUGACGGGGGCCCGCACAAGCGGUGGAGCAUGCGGUUUAAUUCGAAGCAACGCGAAGAACCUUACCAGGUCUUGACAUCCUUUGACCACUCUAGAGAUAGAGCUUCCCCUUCGGGGGCAAAGUGACAGGUGGUGCAUGGUUGUCGUCAGCUCGUGUCGUGAGAUGUUGGGUUAAGUCCCGCAACGAGCGCAACCCUUAUUGUUAGUUGCCAUCAUUUAGUUGGGCACUCUAGCGAGACUGCCGGUGACAAACCGGAGGAAGGUGGGGAUGACGUCAAAUCAUCAUGCCCCUUAUGACCUGGGCUACACACGUGCUACAAUGGGAAGUACAACGAGUUGCGAAGUCGCGAGGCUAAGCUAAUCUCUUAAAGCUUCUCUCAGUUCGGAUUGUAGGCUGCAACUCGCCUACAUGAAGCCGGAAUCGCUAGUAAUCGCGGAUCAGCACGCCGCGGUGAAUACGUUCCCGGGCCUUGUACACAC
rnacentral:rRNA from 1 species